rnacentral:rRNA from 1 species
AGCGUAGACGGUGUGGCAAGUCUGAUGUGAAAGGCAUGGGCUCAACCUGUGGACUGCAUUGGAAACUGUCAUACUUGAGUGCCCGAGGGGUAAGCGGAAUUCCUAGUGUAGCGGUGAAAUGCGUAGAUAUUAGGAGGAACACCAGUGGCGAAGGCGGCUUACUGGACGGUAACUGACGUUGAGGCUCGAAAGCGUGGGAGCAAACA